rnacentral:lncRNA from 1 species
CAAGGUCGAAACAAAGGAGACGUCAAGGACUUGUGAGUCUUUGAGCACGAAAUUCAAGGGACCUUGCAUCCGAUCAAGCAACUGUGCAAAUAUUUGCGAAGAAGAAGGCUUCAAGGGAGGCAAAUGUGUUGGCUUCAGGCUGAGAUGUACGUGCACUAAGAAUUGUUAGUGAUAUAACACACAAACUUAUUUUGGUGCAUGGGAUUGAGAUGAAUGAAAAUUUUUUACCCUUUUUUUCGUUUUGUUUAAGAGAAUAAAUGACUAACCCUAAUAUAAAUUUUGGGGUUGUGUCUGUGUUUUUGUUCUUAUGCGCUAACAGUGCGUGAGUUAUUUUGUAAUCAAUAAAAUCAAAAAAUAAUAUCGUUCAUUUCUUAAUGUAAUGAUACUUUUUUUCUCUCUACACAAAUGUACUCUUUCUAGCAUUACUUUAAACUUUUUACCAAUGCGUAAUGUUGAUUAUACUAUUUGUAACUUUAGGGGCUGCUUUUGUUAGUUUUUAGAGGCCAUGAACCAACUCUCACUCACCUCAAGCCACAGAUAUGCGAAACGUAAUUGAUCCAAAUUAGUUAUAUGUACAACAAUGGAAACUUUCAUAUCCACAUCACUAAUUGACUUAAUAUGGCGCACAAAACUCUUUUUUUUUUGUUUUUUUUUUUUUGUUUUUGUGGAGAAAUUUUAGGAUUGCAUUUAUAAUUUAGUCAAAAAAAAGCCACUAGCUAUAAAGGGCCAUUACAAUAACGGAGCGGUCUAACAUCAAAAUUAAAACAAUCUGGUCCGCCUCCACUAACAAUCACUUAGGAUCGAAGAAACUCUGGCAUAGGCAUCCCAAUUAAGAUUGCAAACUCAGAAUAAUCAAACAGAGUUAAAGCUUGAAAAAAUCAAGCCAUAACAAUACAAAUAAAACUCUCACAAAGGAGAGAUGAAAAGCUCUCACAAAAGAGAGAUGAUAAUCUCUCACAAAUGAGAGGUGAAAAGCUCUCACAAAAGGAGAGCUGAAAACUACACAGACAACCCAGAGAGUUUCUGUGACUUAUUUCGAACAUAAAGAAACCGCAAAGAAGAUGGUGGUGGAGAUCCGAUGCCGAAAUGCAUGUGGCGAUCCAACGCCGAGACGCAGUCACCUGUGAUGGUUGGAGGAAAAUCAUAACAAAACGAAGACAAACAGGGAAAACCUUUUGUCUCUGAAUAUGAGGGAAGAGAAGAGAGGGAGGAAGAGAAGAGGGGAGAGAGGAGGAAGAAUAGUGGCUUCCUCCCUCGUCAAAGUGAACUUGUCAUUUUCUUAUUGGUUCUUAGUGUGUUAAAAUUUUAUAAGAAGAAAUUAGUCAUUAGAAAAUGAUAAGUGACUAUUUUGGGUUAAAGCCCUUUUUUCUUUUUCUAUUUUGGGAUUUAACUACAACGAUCCUCGAACUUAUACGAGUUCACAUUUAGUUAAUUCAGUAUAAUAAUUAAAAAAAUUGUUUGUUUUUUAAAGAUUAUUGUAUCCAAAUUAUUAGUUUUACCCCUCAGUUUUACCAAAUUUGAAAAAAUAACUAAAUUGAAACAUGCACGAGAUCUGAAGGACCAAAAUAAAACUAGAUAUAAAUUUAGGGAUCAUUGCAGUUAAAAAAACCUUUGAAUUUUACUAGCAAAAUGAAAAGCCAAAAGAAUAAUUACGAAAAAUAUAUAUAUAAAGAUUAUGCAUGUGAUAUUUCUAGUUAGGUGGUCACUGCACGUAGUGGAUUAGAUUCCACAUUGAAUAUCCAUAUCAAUUGGUAAUUAUCUUUUGUCAAGACAAUAGAAAAUGAUUUAAUUUUUACAAUAGUUCUUGCAUGCUAAUCAAUUACCAUAUCCGAAUAAAAUGACAUAAUAUAUUCUUGCUGGCGACUUAUAGUUUGCAUUCAUGUUUGUAAUGGACUCGACUCACAAAGAUUCAGAAGCUUUUUAAACCAAAAGGAAAAUGAAGAAAUAGAAGGAAAUCUUGUAUAGGAACAUGAUUGUUUUGGCAUAAAGUUUAGGUUGGAGGCUAUGAUUUCAGCAACUUCCUUUUGUUACCAACAAAUACAGAAAUACAGAAAAGGGUGGGGGAAAGUAAUUAAAGGAGGCAUUUCAAAAUAAUAGUGCUUUUAAAAUAUAUAUAUAUAUAUAUAUAUAUCAAGGGGCAAGUCCAUUUAAAUAAUGCUUGAAUAUGUACUGUUAAGUUUUCUUUUUGAAAAUUUGUGAUAAUUGUAUUCAAUAAUUCGACACAAAGAUCAAAUACUCAUAAAGGGUUAGUAUAAAGUUGUAUGCACAGUAAUUGCAGAUGGUUAAUUCAUAUAUAAGAGGAUACACUGGUGACAUUGCACAAUUUGUAUCUCCACUAAUAGUCCUAAAAGACCAAAUAUAUUUCGAUGUAACAGUCACAUGCCUGAGCAAAUCAGACAUGUAAUACAACGCCCAAAAUUACAAAUACAACGACAAUCAACUCUUACAAGUAGAGACUAAAACACAAAUAAACACCCAACUCACAAAGAGUUGUUGGUUUCAGUAUUUUAAAAAGUAGGAAAAUUACCCUUAAAAUUAUAAAUUAUUACACUAUUGGCCCUUUUGUGCGUCAAAUUACAAAUGAUUAAAAAGUUGACAUAUCCAUAUGAAAAAAGAAAAAUUGACACAUCACCUAUACUAGAAGGUUAAAUCUGUCCAACAAAUAAAAGGUUAAAUAGAAGGUUAAAAUUUUUCUAUAAGUUCUUAUUUGUUGUCCAUAUGACAUGUUCAUUUAGGUUUAUCAUCCAUGUCCGCAUAAAAUGGGCUAAUUAAGUGUUAGGUAAAAAUAACAAAGGUUAAAUUUCCCUCCGCUCUCUAUUUUUCAUAGGUGUACCGCUCUUUACGGAAAUGCUCUUAAUUUGCUUCAUAACAACUCUAUAUAAAAGGCGUUGGAUGGUUAACCUUUGAAUCAAGGCAUCUUGAAUCAACAUUCAACAUCCCUCUGUCUGUGUUUUUGUUUCAUACGCGUGCACGUACACACACAAAAAUCAAGAUGGAGGGAUCCAAACGUAUGUUUUCAACUGUCUUCAUCCUCGUCCUGCUCUUCGUGGCUAUUGGUAUCUCUCUCUUUCCUCAUUUUAAUUUCAUCUUUAUAUUUGAUUAGUGAUAUAUUUCUUUCCAAUGCUGAAAGACGUUUCAAGUUUGAAUCCACCUUCUCUCAUUCAUUUUUAUCGAUGAAUCUUUGGCAGGGACGGGUCCAAUGGUUGCUGAGGGCAAGGUCGAAACAAAGGAGACGUCCAGGACUUGUGAGUCUUUGAGCACGAAAUUCAAGGGACCUUGCAUCCGAUCAAGCAACUGUGCAAAUAUUUGCGAAGAAGAAGGCUUCAAGGGAGGCAAAUGUGUUGGCUUCAGGCUGAGAUGUACGUGCACUAAGAAUUGUUAGUGAUAUAACACACUAACUUAUUUUGGUGCAUGGGAUUGAGAUGAAUGAAAAUUUUUUACCCUUUUUUUCGUUUUGUUUAAGAGAAUAAAUGACUAACCCUAAUAUAAAUUUUGGGGUUGUGUCUGUGUUUUUGUUCUUAUGCGCUAACAGUGCGUGAGUUAUUUUGUAAUCAAUAAAAUAAAAAAAUAAUAUCGUUCAUUUCUUAAUGUAAUGAUACUUUUUUUCUCUCUACACAAAUGUACUCUUUCUAGCAUUACUUUAAACUUUUUACCAAUGCGUAAUGUUGAUUAUACUAUUUGUAACUUUAGGGGCUGCUUUUGUUAGUUUUUAGAGGCCAUGAACCAACUCUCACUCACCUCAAGCCACAGAUAUGCGAAACGUAAUUGAUCCAAAUUAGUUAUAUGUACAACAAUGGAAACUUUCAUAUCCACAUCACUAAUUGACUUAAUAUGGCGCACAAAACUCUUUUUUUUUUGUUUUUUUUUUUUUGUUUUUGUGGAGAAAUUUUAGGAUUGCAUUUAUAAUUUAGUCAAAAAAAAGCCACUAGCUAUAAAGGGCCAUUACAAUAACGGAGCGGUCUAACAUCAAAAUUAAAACAAUCUGGUCCGCCUCCACUAACAAUCACUUAGGAUCGAAGAAACUCUGGCAUAGGCAUCCCAAUUAAGAUUGCAAACUCAGAAUAAUCAAACAGAGUUAAAGCUUGAAAAAAUCAAGCCAUAACAAUACAAAUAAAACUCUCACAAAGGAGAGAUGAAAAGCUCUCACAAAAGAGAGAUGAUAAUCUCUCACAAAUGAGAGGUGAAAAGCUCUCACAAAAGGAGAGCUGAAAACUACACAGACAACCCAGAGAGUUUCUGUGACUUAUUUCGAACAUAAAGAAACCGCAAAGAAGAUGGUGGUGGAGAUCCGAUGCCGAAAUGCAUGUGGCGAUCCAACGCCGAGACGCAGUCACCUGUGAUGGUUGGAGGAAAAUCAUAACAAAACGAAGACAAACAGGGAAAACCUUUUGUCUCUGAAUAUGAGGGAAGAGAAGAGAGGGAGGAAGAGAAGAGGGGAGAGAGGAGGAAGAAUAGUGGCUUCCUCCCUCGUCAAAGUGAACUUGUCAUUUUCUUAUUGGUUCUUAGUGUGUUAAAAUUUUAUAAGAAGAAAUUAGUCAUUAGAAAAUGAUAAGUGACUAUUUUGGGUUAAAGCCCUUUUUUCUUUUUCUAUUUUGGGAUUUAACUACAACGAUCCUCGAACUUAUACGAGUUCACAUUUAGUUAAUUCAGUAUAAUAAUUAAAAAAAUUGUUUGUUUUUUAAAGAUUAUUGUAUCCAAAUUAUUAGUUUUACCCCUCAGUUUUACCAAAUUUGAAAAAAUAACUAAAUUGAAACAUGCACGAGAUCUGAAGGACCAAAAUAAAACUAGAUAUAAAUUUAGGGAUCAUUGCAGUUAAAAAAACCUUUGAAUUUUACUAGCAAAAUGAAAAGCCAAAAGAAUAAUUACGAAAAAUAUAUAUAUAAAGAUUAUGCAUGUGAUAUUUCUAGUUAGGUGGUCACUGCACGUAGUGGAUUAGAUUCCACAUUGAAUAUCCAUAUCAAUUGGUAAUUAUCUUUUGUCAAGACAAUAGAAAAUGAUUUAAUUUUUACAAUAGUUCUUGCAUGCUAAUCAAUUACCAUAUCCGAAUAAAAUGACAUAAUAUAUUCUUGCUGGCGACUUAUAGUUUGCAUUCAUGUUUGUAAUGGACUCGACUCACAAAGAUUCAGAAGCUUUUUAAACCAAAAGGAAAAUGAAGAAAUAGAAGGAAAUCUUGUAUAGGAACAUGAUUGUUUUGGCAUAAAGUUUAGGUUGGAGGCUAUGAUUUCAGCAACUUCCUUUUGUUACCAACAAAUACAGAAAUACAGAAAAGGGUGGGGGAAAGUAAUUAAAGGAGGCAUUUCAAAAUAAUAGUGCUUUUAAAAUAUAUAUAUAUAUAUAUAUAUAUAUCAAGGGGCAAGUCCAUUUAAAUAAUGCUUGAAUAUGUACUGUUAAGUUUUCUUUUUGAAAAUUUGUGAUAAUUGUAUUCAAUAAUUCGACACAAAGAUCAAAUACUCAUAAAGGGUUAGUAUAAAGUUGUAUGCACAGUAAUUGCAGAUGGUUAAUUCAUAUAUAAGAGGAUACACUGGUGACAUUGCACAAUUUGUAUCUCCACUAAUAGUCCUAAAAGACCAAAUAUAUUUCGAUGUAACAGUCACAUGCCUGAGCAAAUCAGACAUGUAAUACAACGCCCAAAAUUACAAAUACAACGACAAUCAACUCUUACAAGUAGAGACUAAAACACAAAUAAACACCCAACUCACAAAGAGUUGUUGGUUUCAGUAUUUUAAAAAGUAGGAAAAUUACCCUUAAAAUUAUAAAUUAUUACACUAUUGGCCCUUUUGUGCGUCAAAUUACAAAUGAUUAAAAAGUUGACAUAUCCAUAUGAAAAAAGAAAAAUUGACACAUCACCUAUACUAGAAGGUUAAAUCUGUCCAACAAAUAAAAGGUUAAAUAGAAGGUUAAAAUUUUUCUAUAAGUUCUUAUUUGUUGUCCAUAUGACAUGUUCAUUUAGGUUUAUCAUCCAUGUCCGCAUAAAAUGGGCUAAUUAAGUGUUAGGUAAAAAUAACAAAGGUUAAAUUUCCCUCCACUCUCUAUUUUUCAUAGGUGUACCGCUCUUUACGGAAAUGCUCUUAAUUUGCUUCAUAACAACUCUAUAUAAAAGGCGUUGGAUGGUUAACCUUUGAAUCAAGGCAUCUUGAAUCAACAUUCAACAUCCCUCUGUCUGUGUUUUUGUUUCACACGCGUGCACGUACACACACAAAAAUCAAGAUGGAGGGAUCCAAACGUAUGUUUUCAACUGUCUUCAUCCUCGUCCUGCUCUUUGUGGCUAUUGGUAUCUCUCUCUUUCCUCAUUUUAAUUUCAUCUUUAUAUUUGAUUAGUGAUAUAUUUCUUUCCAAUGCUGAAAGACGUUUCAAGUUUGAAUCCACCUUCUCUCAUUCAUUUUUAUCGAUGAAUCUUUGGCAGGGACGGGUCCAAUGGUUGCUGAGGGCAAGGUCGAAACAAAGGAGACGUCCAGGACUUGUGAGUCUUUGAGCACGAAAUUCAAGGGACCUUGCAUCCGAUCAAGCAACUGUGCAAAUAUUUGCGAAGAAGAAGGCUUCAAGGGAGGCAAAUGUGUUGGCUUCAGGCUGAGAUGUACGUGCACUAAGAAUUGUUAGUGAUAUAACACACUAACUUAUUUUGGUGCAUGGGAUUGAGAUGAAUGAAAAUUUUUUACCCUUUUUUUCGUUUUGUUUAAGAGAAUAAAUGACUAACCCUAAUAUAAAUUUUGGGGUUGUGUCUGUGUUUUUGUUCUUAUGCGCUAACAGUGCGUGAGUUAUUUUGUAAUCAAUAAAAUAAAAAAAUAAUAUCGUUCAUUUCUUAAUGUAAUGAUACUUUUUUUCUCUCUACACAAAUGUACUCUUUCUAGCAUUACUUUAAACUUUUUACCAAUGCGUAAUGUUGAUUAUACUAUUUGUAACUUUAGGGGCUGCUUUUGUUAGUUUUUAGAGGCCAUGAACCAACUCUCACUCACCUCAAGCCACAGAUAUGCGAAACGUAAUUGAUCCAAAUUAGUUAUAUGUACAACAAUGGAAACUUUCAUAUCCACAUCACUAAGUGACUUAAUAUGGCGCACAAAACUCUUUUUUUUUUGUUUUUUUUUUGUUUUUGUGGAGAAAUUUUAGGAUUGCAUUUAUAAUUUAGUCAAAAAAAAGCCACUAGCUAUAAAGGGCCAUUACAAUAACGGAGCGGUCUAACAUCAAAAUUAAAACAAUCUGGUCCGCCUCCACUAACAAUCACUUAGGAUCGAAG